UACAGAGGUCCCGAGCGUUGUUCGGAUUCAUUGGGCGUAAAGGGUGCGUCGGCGGCGGGGCAAGUCUGAUGUGAAAUCCCGGGGCUCAACCCCGGAACUGCAUUGGAUACUGCCUUGCUAGAGUACUGGAGAGGGAACUGGAAUUUACGGUGUAGCAGUGAAAUGCGUAGAGAUCGUAAGGAAGGCCAGUGGCGAAGGCGAGUUCCUGGACAGUAACUGACGCUGAGGCACGAAGGCCAGGGGAGCAAACGGG
rnacentral:rRNA from 1 species